AAUAGAUACCCGGGUAGUCCAUGCCGUAAACGUUGGGCACUAGGUGUGGGGCUCAUUCCACGAGUUCCGUGCCGCGGCAAGCGCAUUAAGUGCCCCGCCUGGGGAGUACGGCCGCAAGGCUAAAACUCAAAGGAAUUGACGGGGGCCCGCACAAGCGGCGGAGCAUGCGGAUUAAUUCGAUGCAACGCGAAGAACCUUACCAAGGCUUGACAUGCACGGGAAGCCACCAGAGAUGGUGGUCUCUUUGGACACUCGUGCACAGGUGGUGCAUGGUUGUCGUCAGCUCGUGUCGUGAGAUGUUGGGUUAAGUCCCGCAACGAGCGCAACCCUCGUCCCAUGUUGCCAGCGGGUUAUGCCGGGGACUCAUGGGAGACUGCCGGGGUCAACUCGGAGGAAGGUGGGGAUGACGUCAAAUCAUCAUGCCCCUUAUGUCUUGGGCUUCACGCAUGCUACAAUGGCCGGUACAAAGGGCUGCGAUGCCGUAAGGUGGAGCGAAUCCCAAAAAGCCGGUCUCAGUUCGGAUUGGGGU
rnacentral:rRNA from 1 species